rnacentral:rRNA from 1 species
GUGCCAGCCGCCGCGGUAAUACCGGCAGCCCGAGUGAUGGCCGAUCUUAUUGGGCCUAAAGCGUCCGUAGCUGGCUGCGCAAGUCCGUCGGGAAAUCCACUCGCUCAACGAGUGGCCGUCCGGUGGAAACUCCACACCUUGGGACCGGAAGGCUCGAAGGGUACGGCCGGGGUAGGAGUGAAAUCCAAUAAUCCCGCACGGACCACCGAUGGCGAAAGCACUUCGAGAAAACGGGUCCGACAGUGAGGGACGAAAGCCAGGGUCUCCAACCGGAUUAGAUACCCGUGUAGUCC